AAUGGGAGUUAUGGGGUAUUGAUGGUAGUUAUGGGAUGGUGAUGAUAGUUAUGGAGUGGUGAUGGUAGUUAUGGCGUGGUGAUGGUAGUUCUGUGGUGGUGAUGGUAGUUAUGGGGUGGUGGUGUUGGUGAUGAUGGUUGUUUAGGGGUGGUGAUGGUGGUGGUGAUGGUAGUUGUGGGGUGGUGAUGAUGGUGGUGAUGGUAGUUAUGGAGUGGUGAUGAUGGUAGAUUUGGUGUGCUGAGGAUGGUGGUCAUGGUAGUUAUGGGGUGGUGAUGGUUGUUGUGGGGUGCUGAUGGUUGCUAUGGGGUGGUAAUGGUAGUUAUAUGUCGGUGAUGGUAGUUAUGUGUCGGUGAUGGUAGUUAUGGGGUGGUGAUGGUUGUUAUGGGGUGGUGAUGGUUGUUAUAGGGUGGUGGUUAUGGUUAUGUUGUGGUGAUUGUAGUUAUGGUGUGCUGGUGCUGGUGGUGAUGGUAAUUAUGGGGUGGUGAUGGUAGUUAUGGGGUGGCAAUGGCAUUUAAGGGGUGGUGAUGGUAGUUUUUGGGUGGUAAUGAUAGUUAUGGGGUGGUGAUGGUAAUGAUGGUAGUUAUGGGAUGGUGGUGAUGGUAGUUAUGUGGUGGUGAUGGUAUUAUGGGGUGCUGAUGGUAGUUGUGGGGUGGUGAUGAUGGUGGUGAUGGUAGUUAUGGAGUGGUGUUGAUGGUAGAUUUGGGGUGGUGAGGAUGUUAUGGUGUGGUGAUGGUAGUUAUGGGGUGGUGAUGGUAGUUAUGGGGUGGUGGUGUUGGUGAUGAUGGUUGUUUAGGGGUGGUGAUGGUGGUGGUGAUGGUAGUUGUGGGGUGGUGAUGAUGGUGGUGAUGGUAGUUAUGGAGUGGUGUUGAUGGUAGAUUUGGGGUGGUGAGGAUGGUGGUCAUAUUAGUUAUGGGGUGGUGAUGGUUGUUAUAAGGUGGUGGUGAUGGUUAUGUUGUGGUGAUUGUAGUUAUGGUGUGGUGGUGGUGGUGGUGAUGGUAAUUAUGGGGUGGUGAUGGUAGUUAUGGGGUGACAAUGGCAUUUAAGGGGUGGUGAUGGUAGUUUUUGGGUGGUGAUGAUAGUUAUGGGGUGGUGAUGGUAAUGAUGGUAGUUAUGGGAUGGUGGUGAUGGUAGUUAUGUGGUGGUGAUGGUAUUAUGGGGUGCUGAUGGUAGUUUUGGGGUGGUGAUGGUAGUUAUGGGGUUUUGGUGGUAGUUAUGGGGUGGUGAUGGUACUUAUGGGGUUGUGAUGGUGGUAGUUAUGGGGUGGUGAUGGGAGUUAUGGGGUGGUGAAGAUAUUAUGGGGUGCUGAUGGUUGUUAUGGGGUGGUUAUGGUAGUUGUGAUGGUAGUUAUAUGGUGGCCAUGGUGGUGGUGGUUGUGGCAGUGGUGGCGGUGGUGGUGGUGGUGGUGGGGAUGGUAGUUAUGGGGGGAUGAUGGUGGUGAUGGUAGUUAUGGGGUGGUGGUAAUGGAAGUUAUGGUGUAUUGAUGGUAGUUAUGGAGUGGUGAUGUAGUUAUGGCGUGGUGAUGGUAGUUAUGGGGUGGUGAUGGUAGCUAUGGGGUGGUGGUGUUGGUGAUGAUGGUUGUUUAGGGGUGGUGAUGGUGGUGGUGAUGGUAGUUGUGGGGUGGUGAUGAUGGUGGUGAUGGUAGUUAUGGAGUGGUGUUGAUGGUAGAUUUGGGGUGGUGAGGAUGGUGGUCAUGGUAGUUAUGGGGUGGUGAUGGUUGUUUUGUGGUGCUGAUGGUUGUUAUGGGGUGGUAAUGGUAGUUAUGGGGUGAUGAUGGUAGUUAUGUGUCGGUGAUGGUACUAAUGGGGUGGUGAUGGUUGUUAUAGGGUGGUGGUGAUGGUUAUGUUGUGGUGAUUGUAGUUAUGGUGUGGUGGUGGUGGUGGUGAUGGUAAUUAUGGGGUGGUGAUGGUAGUUAUGGGGUGACAAUGGCAUUUAAGGGGUGGUGAUGGUAGUUUUUGGGUGGUGAUGAUAGUUAUGGGGUGCUGAUGGUAGUUAUGGGGUGGUGAUGGUAGUUAUGGGGUGGUGAUGGUAGUUAUGGGGUGGUGAUGGUAGUUAUAGGGUGGCCAUGGUGGUUAAGGGGUAGUGGUGGUGGUGGUGGUGCUGGGGAUGGUAGUUAUGAGGUGAUGACGGUGGUGAUGGUAGUUAGGGGGUGGUGGUAAUGGAAGUUAUGGGGUAUUGAUGGUAGUUAUGGGGUGGUGAUGAUAGUUAUGGAGUGGUGAUGGUAGUUAUGGCGUGGUGAUGGUAGUUAUGGGGUGGUGAUGGUAGUUAUGGGGUGGUGGUGUUGGUGAUGAUGGUUGUUUAGGGGUGGUGAUGGUGGUGGUGAUGGUAGUUGUGGGGUGGUGAUGAUGGUGGUGAUGGUAGUUAUGGAGUGGUGAUGAUGGUAGAUUUGGGGUGCUGAGGAUGGUGGUCAUGAUAGUUAUGGGGUGGUGAUGGUUGUUGUGGGGUGCUGAUGGUUGUUAUGGGGUGGUAAUGGUAGUUAUAUGUCGGUGAUGGUAGUUAUGUGUCGGUGAUGGUAGUUAUGGGGUGGUGAUGGUUGUUAUAGGGUGGUGGUUAUGGUUAUGUUGUGGUGAUUGUAGUUAUGGUGUGCUGGUGGUGGUGGUGAUGGAAAUUAUGGGGUGGUGAUGGUAGUUUUUGGGUGGUGAUGAUAGUUAUUGGGUGGUGAUGGUAAUGAUGGUAGUUAUUGGAUGGUGGUGAUGGUAGUUAUGUGGUGG
ensembl:lncRNA